CCAAUAGCGUAUAUUAAAGUUGUUGCAGUUAAAAAGCUCGUAGUUGAAUUUCGGAAUCUGUCCGUCGGUCGGGCUUCACUGUCCGUACUGGCGUGGUGGGUUCUUACCUUCUGAAUAACCAGCAUGCCAUUCACUUGGUGCGUUGGGGAAGCAGGACUAUUACCUUGAAAAAAUUAGAGUGCUCAAAGCAGGCUAGUGCCUGAAUACAUUAGCAUGGAAUAAUAAAAUAGGACGGCAUGGUUCUAUUUUGUUGGUUUCUAGGAUCACCGUAAUGAUUAAUAGGGAUAGUUGGGGGCAUUAGCAUUCAAUUGUCAGAGGUGAAAUUCUUGGAUUUAUUGAAGACUAACUUCUGCGAAAGCAUUUGCCAAGGAUGUUUUCAUUAAUCAAGAACGAAAGUUAGGGGAUCGAAGACGAUCAGAUACCGUCGUAGUCUUAACCAUAAACUAUGCCGACUAGGGAUCGGACGAUGUUAAUUUUUUAAUGACUCGUUCGGCGCCUUACG
rnacentral:rRNA from 1 species